AGUGAACGCUGGCGGUAGGCCUAACACAUGCAAGUCGAACGGCAGCACAGUAAGAGCUUGCUCUUACGGGUGGCGAGUGGCGGACGAGUGAGGAAUACAUCGGAAUCUACUUUUUCGUGGGGGAUAACGUAGGGAAACUUACGCUAAUACCGCAUACGACCUACGGGUGAAAGCAGGGGAUCUUCGGACCUUGCGCGAUUGAAUGAGCCGAUGUCGGAUUAGCUAGUUGGCGGGGUAAAGGCCCACCAAGGCGACGAUCCGUAGCUGGUCUGAGAGGAUGAUCAGCCACACCGGAACUGAGACACGGUCCAGACUCCUACGGGAGGCAGCAGUGGGGAAUAUUGGACAAUGGGCGCAAGCCUGAUCCAGCCAUACCGCGUGGGUGAAGAAGGCCUUCGGGUUGUAAGGCCCUUUUGUUGGGAAAGAAAAGCAGCAGGUUAAUACCCCGCUGUUCUGACGGUACCCAAAGAAUAAGCACCGGCUAACUUCGUG
rnacentral:rRNA from 1 species